rnacentral:rRNA from 1 species
GGGGAAUAUUGGGCAAUGGACGCAAGUCUGACCCAGCAACGCCGCGUGAAGGAAGAAGGCUUUCGGGUUGUAAACUUCUUUGACAGGGGAAGAGUAGAAGACGGUACCCUGAAAACAAGCCACGGCUAACUACGUGCCAGCAGCCGCGGUAAUACGUAGGUGGCAAGCGUUGUCCGGAUUUACUGGGUGUAAAGGGCGUGCAGCCGGGCUGACAAGUCAGAUGUGAAAACCAGGGGCUUAACCUCUGGACUGCAUUUGAAACUGUUGGUCUUGAGUAUCGGAGAGGUAACCGGAAUUCCUAGUGUAGCGGUGAAAUGCGUAGAUAUUAGGAAGAACAUCAGUGGCGAAGGCGGGUUACUGGACGACAACUGACGGUGAGGCGCGAAAGCGUGGGGAGCAAAC